GAGUUUGAUCAUGGCUCAGAUUGAACGCUGGCGGCAGGCCUAACACAUGCAAGUCGAGCGGUAGAGAGAAGCUUGCUUCUCUUGAGAGCGGCGGACGGGUGAGUAAUGCCUAGGAAUCUGCCUGGUAGUGGGGGAUAACGUUCGGAAACGGACGCUAAUACCGCAUACGUCCUACGGGAGAAAGCAGGGGACCUUCGGGCCUUGCGCUAUCAGAUGAGCCUAGGUCGGAUUGGCUAGUUGGUGAGGUAAUGGCUCACCAAGGCGACGAUCCGUAACUGGUCUGAGAGGAUGAUCAGUCACACUGGAACUGAGACACGGUCCAGACUCCUACGGGAGGCAGCAGUGGGGAAUAUUGGACAAUGGGCGAAAGCCUGAUCCAGCCAUGCCGCGUGUGUGAAGAAGGUCUUCGGAUUGUAAAGCACUUUAAGUUGGGAGGAAGGGCAGUUACCUAAUACGUGAUUGUUUUGACGUUACCGACAGAAUAAGCACCGGCUAACUCUGUGCCAGCAGCCGCGGUAUACAGAGGUGCAAGCGUUAUCGGAAUACUGGGCGUAA
rnacentral:rRNA from 1 species